UACGGAGGGUGCAAGCGUUAUCCGGAUUCACUGGGUUUAAAGGGUGCGUAGGCGGGCAGGUAAGUCCGUGGUGAAAUCUCUGAGCUUAACUCAGAAACUGCCAUGGAUACUAUUUGUCUUGAAUGUUGUGGAGGUAAGCGGAAUAUGUCAUGUAGCGGUGAAAUGCUUAGAUAUGACAUAGAACACCAAUUGCGAAGGCAGCUUACUACACAAAUAUUGACGCUGAGGCACGAAAGCGGGGGGAUCAAACAGG
rnacentral:rRNA from 1 species